AGGAGAAACAACCCCAGUGGCGGGGCCAGCUCUGGUAACCUGGAUUCAGCCCCCACAGUAACUACGGAGUUCUGCAUCUGCAGGGCCUGGAUGCUCCGGGGGCGG
rnacentral:pre_miRNA from 1 species